rnacentral:tRNA from 1 species
GCGCUCUUAGUAUAGUGGUAAGUAUGCCAGGUUGCCAACCUGGCGACCCGGGAGGUUCUUUCAUCUCGUAAGUUCUCGGGACUUCAAUUCCCGGAGGGCGCA